rnacentral:rRNA from 1 species
AUUGAACGCUGGCGGCAGGCCUAACACAUGCAAGUCGAGCGGAUGAAGGGAGCUUGCUCCUGGAUUCAGCGGCGGACGGGUGAGUAAUGCCUAGGAAUCUGCCUGGUAGUGGGGGAUAACGUCCGGAAACGGGCGCUAAUACCGCAUACGUCCUGAGGGAGAAAGUGGGGGAUCUUCGGACCUCACGCUAUCAGAUGAGCCUAGGUCGGAUUAGCUAGUUGGUGGGGUAAAGGCCUACCAAGGCGACGAUCCGUAACUGGCCUGGGGGGAUGAUCAGUCACACUGGAACUGGAACAAGGGCCAGGCUCCUACGGGAGGCAGCAGUAGGGAAUCUUCGGCAAUGGGCGAAAGCCUGAAGCAGCCAAGCCGCGGGGGGGAAGAAGGUCUUCGGAUUGGAAAACCCUUUUAUUUGGGAAGAACGGGAAUGAAGUAAUACCUUGCUGUUUUGACGUUACCAACAGAAUAAGCACCGGCUAACUUCGUG